UUGAAUCCUCUGUUCGUGGCCGUUGUGGUGGUUUCGUGGAACGUCUUUUUUAUUCUCUCUUCUUGCUUUCUUUCCCAUGCACACUCUUUUCUUCUCUUUCUGAACUUUCGGUGAUAUAUAAAGACACAGACUUCGCCUCUGAAUUGUAUGGUUUUAUAAUUUAAGAACCGUUUGUUUUAUUGUUGUUGUUUGGAGAAGCAAAUCAAAAGGAAAUGCCAGCGUUUCGUCAUGCCGGAUUAGGUUUUGGGCACCGUCUUCUUGCCAGCGGUGGUGUUUUGUGGAUUUCCAAAGAGCCUGAAACUCGAAAGGGCCUUCCGGUGGACCGGAGAGUUGAACUGAGUGAGUGUAGAGCUCCUGACAGGUUCAUAGAUGGUGCAUUGGAGAACAGAGGGCUAUCCAUUUCUCUGUUUUGAUCUCUCCAGGUAGUGACGGAGAAAACAGAGGAAAAAGGCAGAUGGAAACCCAGAAGCGUGAAAAACAUGGAGACUAGUGGUUUAUAGAUUGGCUACAAUGUCCCAGAGGAAACUCACUGCAUGGAUUUAAAGGAAUAUCCUUGGCGAAAACAGAACGAAUCUGUAUCAACCCUUUCUGUCUCUUCCUCUCCUUUGGGGUAUCGCUUCCGAAUUACGCAAUACAAUGUGGUAGGGCUGGACUGUCAAGUCAUUCGUUCGCUCUAAUCCCUCAACGCUGUCACCGUCACAGAACCAGACUCACAAGACUACUAAUACGAGAGAAGAUAAACCCAGUUCGGAUCUCACUCACCCAGAACACAGCAGCCUCGAGAAUAAAUACAAGCAUUACAAAGACAAUGACCAGAAAGGAAAAAGUAAGAACACUCGCAAGUACAGAAGGGAUGUUUCUCCAUUGUAUGCUUUUGAUGUAGUUCAGGACCAAGGGAUGACCAUUUUUGGAGACGUUGUUCUAAGACAUAAUUUUUUUUGUCUAUGAUCUAGCUAAUCAAUGCAUUGGAUGGGCUAAUUAUGAGUGUUCAUUGUUUGUAAAUGCCUUCACAAUUUCUGGUAAGGAUGAAUUUAUCAACACAGGACAGCUAAGUGUGAGCAGUUCAUCAGAGAUUGUUCCAUGCAGAUUGAUAUCAAGCAAUACAGUGGCUAUGGUGUUUCAAUUGCGGGUGCAUCUUUUUAGGCGAAGGAUUUGUGUAACGUUGGUCACAAGAUUGUUGUGUGUGAAUGCACAAUUAUCUAUAACAGUAAAUUUAUAGGUGAUCACAACAUUGAUCUAAAAAUCCCCAAAGUUCACAACGCAGGUAUCUGGAGCUAUCUUCUCAUUUCCAGCCGUUCUCGUGGGUCAAGCAAUCCUGAUACACGUACUGGAACAAUCCUGAAGUAAGUACCUGAAUGAAAGCCAUGAUACAAGAGCAACUCUUGAAUUUCCUAAUACACGUAUCGGAACAAAGCCAGCACCCAAAGUUGCUUUUUACAGCUCCAGAGGAUCAUCUGCAAUUUGCCCCCAUGUUCUAAAGCCUGACCUCAUAGCCCCCGGCUCCUUUGUUCUUUUACAUCUUGCCCUCCAAUAAGUCCUAUGGUGAACGAAGGAUCAACAAAAUUGUUUAGCAACUUCAACAUCAUCUACGGAACCUCCAUGGCUUGUCCUCAUGUGGUGGUAAUGACAGCACUUCUGAAAGCAGUCCAUCCUGAAUGGAGUCCAACGGCCAUUCGAUCUGCCAUGAUGACCACAGAAGAUUCACUCAAUACCACCCUCAAACCCAUCACAGAACUCUUAGAUGGCAAGCAACCCACCAGUCCUCUUGCCACGGGAGCGGGUCACCUCAAUCCUAACAAGGCGCUUGACCCUGGACUUGUAUUCAAAUACAGAGGACUAAGAGAAGCUUCUCUGCGCUCUGAAUUACACUAAGAAGGAAUCAAGAAGAUAACAAGGUCGUCCUCGGACUAGUUAGCCCAUGAAGUGCAAACGUUUGGUAAUGCCUCUUCAAGCUUCAACCCAAGAGCUCUUCCUUAUGAUCUUAGUGUAAUUGUGUCUAGUGAUUUGUGGGGACGUGCUACCCCCCGUCCGUCUUGUGUAGCCCCUUUCCAAUAUUUUAUCAAAAAAAAUGUUUGUUUCAUUGGAGGUCACAAGCAAGGUUCAGAGUAUCGAUACACCUCCUUGUUUUGUUGUUGAUAUACUUACAGGAAAAAAAUCGGUCCUGGUACAAAUACUUUAAGAUGGAUGAUAAGUACUUUAACAUCCACAUUGAAUAA